GUCCACGCCAUAAACGAUGGGCACUAGGUGUCGCGGGUAUUGACCCCUGCGGUGCCACAGCUAACGCAUUAAGUGCCCCGCCUGGGGAUUACGGCCGCAAGGUUAAAACUCAAAGGAAUUGACGGGGCCCGCACAAGCGGUGGAGCAUGUGGUUCAAUUCGACGCAACGCGAAGAACCUUACCUGGGCUAGACAACAUCGGACAGCCCCCAGAGAUGGGGUCUUCCCUUCGGGGACUGGUGGUUCAGGUGCUGCAUGGCUGUCGU
rnacentral:rRNA from 1 species